rnacentral:snRNA from 1 species
GUAUAUAUGGAACAUCAAAUAAAAUUGGAACAAUAGAGAGAAGAUUAGCAUGGCCUUUGAACAAGGAUCAUACAAAUAAAUUGAAAAAUUGUCCAAAUUUUA